GAUGCUGUAGCUCAGUGGGUAGAGUGUUUGCUUAGCAUGCAUGAAGCCUGGGGUUCAAUCCCAGCACCACA
rnacentral:tRNA from 1 species